AUUGAACGCUGGCGGCAUGCUUUACACAUGCAAGUCGAACGGCAGCGCGGGCUUCGGCCUGGCGGCGAGUGGCGAACGGGUGGGUAAUGCAUCGGAACGUGCCCAGUAGUGGGGGAUAGCCCGGCGAAAGCCGGAUUAAUACCGCAUACGACCUGAGGGUGAAAGCGGGGGACCGAAAGGCCUCGCGCUAUUGGAGCGGCCGAUGUCGGAUUAGCUAGUUGGUGGGGUAAAGGCUUACCAAGGCGACGAUCCGUAGCUGGUCUGAGAGGACGACCAGCCACACUGGGACUGAGACACGGCCCAGACUCCUACGGGAGGCAGCAGUGGGGAAUUUUGGACAAUGGGGGCAACCCUGAUCCAGCCAUGCCGCGUGCGGGAAGAAGGCCUUCGGGUUGUAAAACGCUUUUGUUCGGGAAGAAAUCCUCUGGGCUAAUACCCCGGGGGGAUGACGGUACCGGAAGAAUAAGCACCGGCUAACUACGUG
rnacentral:rRNA from 1 species